AUCCUAAGGCCAGCGAGAGAACUAUUGUUAAGGAACUCGGCAAAAUGACCCCGUAACUUAGGGAGAAGGGGUGCCUGUCUAUGACAGGCCGCAGAGAAUAGGCCCAAGCGACUGUUUACCAAAAACACAGGUUUCUGCUAAGUCGCAAGACGAUGUAUAGGAGCUGACGCCUGCCCGGUGCUGGAAGGUUAAGGGGAUCUGUUAGAGCAAUCGAAGCAGUGAACUUAAGCCCCAGUAAACGGCGGCCGUAACAAUAACGGUCCUAAGGUAGCGAAAUUCCUUGUCGGGUAAGUUCCGACCCGCACGAAAGGCGUAACGAUUUGGGCACUGUCUCAACAAUAGACUCGGUGAAAUUGUAAUCCCGGUGAAGAUGCCGGGUACCUGCGACAGGACGGAAAGACCCCAUGGAGCUUUACUGUAGCUUGACGUUGGGUCUUGGUACUACAUGUACAGGAUAGGUGGGAGACUAUGAAGCAUGGACGCCAGUCUGUGUGGAGUCAUCCUUGGGAUACCACCCUUGUAGUACUGGGAUCCUAACCAUAGGCCUUGAAUCAGGUCUUGGAACACCGUCAGGUGGGCAGUUUGACUGGGGCGGUCGCCUCCUAAAAAGUAACGGAGGCGCUCAAAGGUUUCCUCAGCACGGUCGGAAAUCGUGCGAAGAGUGUAAAGGUAAAAGGAAGCUUGAUUGCAAGACAUACAGGUCGAGCAAGGACGAAAGUCGGACUUAGUGAUCCGGUGGUACCGCAUGGAAGGGCCAUCGCUCAACGGAUAAAAGCUACCCUGGGGAUAACAGGCUUAUCUCCCCCAAGAGUCCACAUCGACGGGGAGGUUUGGCACCUCGAUGUCGGCUCAUCACAUCCUGGGGCUGUAGUAGGUCCCAAGGGUUGGGCUGUUCGCCCAUUAAAGUGGUACGCGAGCUGGGUUCAGAACGUCGUGAGACAGUUCGGUCCCUAUCCGUCGCAGGCGUAGGAAAUUUGAGAAGACCUGUCCUUAGUACGAGAGGACCGGGAUGGACGUACCUCUGGUGUACCAGUUGUUCUGCCAAGGGCAUGGCUGGGUAGCUAUGUACGGAAUGGAUAAGCGCUGAAAGCAUCUAAGCGCGAAGCCAACUUCAAGAUAAGAUUUCCCACCGUAAGGGUAAGACCCCAGGAAGACUACCUGGUUGAUAGGUCGAAGGUGUAAGUGCAGUAAUGUAUUUAGCUUAUCGAUGCUAAUAGGUCGAGGACUUGACCAA
rnacentral:rRNA from 1 species